UACGUAGGGGGCGAGCGUUGUCCGGAAUUACUGGGCGUAAAGAGCUCGUAGGUGGUUUGUCGCGUUGUCCGUGAAAACUCACAACUCAAUUGUGGGCGUGCGGGCGAUACGGGCAGACUGGAGUACUGCAGGGGAGACUGGAAUUCCUGGUGUAGCGGUGGAAUGCGCAGAUAUCAGGAGGAACACCGGUGGCGAAGGCGGUUCUCUGGGCAGUAACUGACGCUGAGGAGCGAAAGCGUGGGGAGCGAACAGG
rnacentral:rRNA from 1 species